rnacentral:misc_RNA from 1 species
AGAUUUUUUCCUCGCUGAAUUUAAGAAGAAGUAUAUGGAAAGUGUGUACCUGGAAGACAAGAGAAGAGAGUUUAUUAGUCUGAGGCAGAGGCAGUUAUCAGUAGCGGAGUAUGAGAAAGAGUUUGUCAGACUAAGCCACUACGGAAGAGAGAUAGUCUCCACAGAAGCAGAGAAGUGCAGAAGGUUUGAAGAGGGGCUAAAUGACAAUAUUAAAAUAAUGAUUACUGCCUUGGGGAUUACGAACUUCACGAAAUUAGUUGAAGCCACGCUGAAAGUGGAAAGGGUCAGAGUAAGUGAAUAGAAUAGGAAAGAUAGGCAGCGUAAGAGGGAAUUUGGACCAGGGCAGUCAAGUAUACCGACUGAUAGUAAGAAGCUUAAGGGUUCUGGUUCACAAGAUUAGACAAAGGGCCAGAGAGGCUAGACUAGGAUAUCUAUAGCUAGCUCCCCAG